AUUGAACGCUGGCGGCAUGCCUUACGCAUGCAAGUCGAACGGCAGCAUGGAGAGCUUGCUCUCUGAUGGCGAGUGGCGAACGGGUGAGUAAAGCAUCGGAACGUACCGUGUAGUGGGGGAUAACGUAGCGAAAGUUACGCUAAUACCGCAUACGCACUGAGGUGGAAAGCAGGGGAUCGUAAGACCUUGCGCUAUACGAGCGGCCGAUGUCAGAUUAGCUAGUUGGUAGGGUAAAGGCCUACCAAGGCGACGAUCUGUAGCGGGUCUGAGAGGAUGAUCCACCACACUGGGACGGAGACACGGCCCAGACUCCUACGGGAGGCAGCAGUGGGGAAUUUUGGACAAUGGGGGAAACCCUGAUCCAGCCAUGCCGCGUGAGUGAAGAAGGCCUUCGGGUUGUAAAGCUCUUUCGGCCGGGAAGAAAUCGCACAGGCUAAUACCCUGUGUGGAUGACGGUACCGGCAUAAGAAGCACCGGCUAACUACGUGCCAGCAGCCGCGGUAA
rnacentral:rRNA from 1 species